rnacentral:rRNA from 2 species
CUAAUACAUGCAAGUCGAGCGAACUGAUUAGAAGCUUGCUUCUAUGACGUUAGCGGCGGACGGGUGAGUAACACGUGGGCAACCUGCCUGUAAGACUGGGAUAACUUCGGGAAACCGAAGCUAAUACCGGAUAGGAUCUUCUCCUUCAUGGGAGAUGAUUGAAAGAUGGUUUCGGCUAUCACUUACAGAUGGGCCCGCGGUGCAUUAGCUAGUUGGUGAGGUAACGGCUCACCAAGGCAACGAUGCAUAGCCGACCUGAGAGGGUGAUCGGCCACACUGGGACUGAGACACGGCCCAGACUCCUACGGGAGGCAGCAGUAGGGAAUCUUCCGCAAUGGACGAAAGUCUGACGGAGCAACGCCGCGUGAGUGAUGAAGGCUUUCGGGUCGUAAAACUCUGUUGUUAGGGAAGAACAAGUACAAGAGUAACUGCUUGUACCUUGACGGUACCUAACCAGAAAGCCACGGCUAACUACGUGCCAGCAGCCGCGGUAAUACGUAGGUGGCAAGCGUUAUCCGGAAUUAUUGGGCGUAAAGCGCGCGCAGGCGGUUUCUUAAGUCUGAUGUGAAAGCCCACGGCUCAACCGUGGAGGGUCAUUGGAAACUGGGGAACUUGAGUGCAGAAGAGAAAAGCGGAAUUCCACGUGUAGCGGUGAAAUGCGUAGAGAUGUGGAGGAACACCAGUGGCGAAGGCGGCUUUUUGGUCUGUAACUGACGCUGAGGCGCGAAAGCGUGGGGAGCAAACAGGAUUAG